ACCGAUAUCUUUGUCUUAUUUCUGAGCUGAGGGGUUAUUUUUAUGCAGUCUAAAUGAUCUCAGCUGUCCGAAAAUGUCUUCAAGUUUAAAGGCUU
rnacentral:pre_miRNA from 8 species